rfam:Populus trichocarpa scaffold_8_contig_236, whole genome shotgun sequence.
UUUAGAACUCAAGAUAUGGGCUGAACAUUGAAUAAUAUCUAGGCUGUAGGACAUAUUUGACUUUUCUGUUGUUGCUACAAUUUGAACUUGAAAACGACCUUUUUGAAUCUUGGACUCUUCAUGAAAGUUUUAGGCUUAUGUCUUAGCUUUCCAUC